AAGUAGUCAAUCUGUUUUAUUCAGUGUGACAUUUACUUGGGUCCACCGGGCAUCUACAAUCUGGCCUCCUUUUCUGAUAUAUCCAAAGCGAAAGUCUCAAGGUUUAAUUUUAUUCGGGCCGCACAAUAAACAAACUUAAAUUUUCAUAGAAACGUAGGUCUAUUUUGAAAAAUACAGUAUAAACCCCCGCCCCCCAAAAAC